UGCAUGAAGAUAGGUGACUCAAAGA
rnacentral:piRNA from 1 species